rnacentral:rRNA from 1 species
UACGUAGGGGGCAAGCGUUGUCCGGAUUUAUUGGGCGUAAAGAGCGUGUAGGCGGUUCGGUAGGUCCGUUGUGAAAACUCGAGGCUCAACCUCGAGACGCCGAUGGAAACCAUCGAACUAGAGUCCGGAAGAGGAGAGUGGAAUUCCUGGUGUAGCGGUGAAAUGCGCAGAUAUCAGGAAGAACACCCGUGGCUAAGGCGGCUCUCUAGUACGGUACUGACGCUGAGACGCGAAAGCUAGGGGAGCAAACAGG